rnacentral:rRNA from 1 species
AGAGUUUGAUCAUGGCUCAGAUUGAACGCUGGCGGCAUGCCUUACACAUGCAAGUCGAACGGCAGCAUAGGAGCUUGCUCCUGAUGGCGAGUGGCGAACGGGUGAGUAAUAUAUCGGAACGUGUCCUAGAGUGGGGGAUAACUAGUCGAAAGACUAGCUAAUACCGCAUACGAUCUACGGAUGAAAGUGGGGGAUCGCAAGACCUCAUGCUCCUGGAGCGGCCGAUAUCUGAUUAGCUAGUUGGUGGGGUAAAAGCCUACCAAGGCAACGAUCAGUAGCUGGUCUGAGAGGACGACCAGCCACACUGGGACUGAGACACGGCCCAGACUCCUACGGGAGGCAGCAGUGGGGAAUUUUGGACAAUGGGGGCAACCCUGAUCCAGCAAUGCCGCGUGAGUGAAGAAGGCCUUCGGGUUGUAAAGCUCUUUUGUCAGGGAAGAAACGGUAGUAGCGAAUAACUACUACUAAUGACGGUACCUGAAGAAUAAGCACCGGCUAACUACGUGCCAGCAGCCGCGGUAAU